rnacentral:miRNA from 1 species
ACAUCCUGCUCCACAGGGCAGAGG